AGCGAACGCUGGCGGCAGGCCUAACACAUGCAAGUCGAACGGACCCUUCGGGGUUAGUGGCGGACGGGUGAGUAACACGUGGGAACGUGCCUUUAGGUUCGGAAUAGCUCCUGGAAACGGGUGGUAAUGCCGAAUGUGCCCUUCGGGGGAAAGAUUUAUCGCCUUUAGAGCGGCCCGCGUCUGAUUAGCUAGUUGGUGAGGUAACGGCUCACCAAGGCGACGAUCAGUAGCUGGUCUGAGAGGAUGACCUGCCACACUGGGACUGAGACACGGCCCAGACUCCUACGGGAGGCAGCAGUGGGGAAUCUUGCGCAAUGGGCGAAAGCCUGACGCAGCCAUGCCGCGUGAAUGACGAAGGUCUUAGGAUUGUAAAAUUCUUUCACCGGGGACGAUAAUGACGGUACCCGGAGAAGAAGCCCCGGCUAACUUCGUG
rnacentral:rRNA from 1 species